rnacentral:rRNA from 1 species
GGGUUGUGAGGUUAAGCGACUAAGCGUACACGGUGGAUGCCCUGGCAGUCAGAGGCGAUGAAGGACGUGCUAAUCUGCGAUAAGCGUCGGUAAGGUGAUAUGAACCGUUAUAACCGGCGAUUUCCGAAUGGGGAAACCCAGUGUGUUUCGACACACUAUCAUUAACUGAAUCCAUAGGUUAAUGAGGCGAACCGGGGGAACUGAAACAUCUAAGUACCCCGAGGAAAAGAAAUCAACCGAGAUUCCCCCAGUAGCGGCGAGCGAACGGGGAGCAGCCCAGAGCCUGAAUCAGUGUGUGUGUUAGUGGAAGCGUCUGGAAAGGCGCGCGAUACAGGGUGACAGCCCCGUACACAAAAAUGCACAUGCUGUGAGCUCGAUGAGUAGGGCGGGACACGUGGUAUCCUGUCUGAAUAUGGGGGGACCAUCCUCCAAGGCUAAAUACUCCUGACUGACCGAUAGUGAACCAGUACCGUGAGGGAAAGGCGAAAAGAACCCCGGCGAGGGGAGUGAAAAAGAACCUGAAACCGUGUACGUACAAGCAGUGGGAGCACGCUUCGGCGUGUGACUGCGUACCUUUUGUAUAAUGGGUCAGCGACUUAUAUUCUGUAGCAAGGUUAACCGAAUAGGGGAGCCGAAGGGAAACCGAGUCUUAACUGGGCGUUAAGUUGCAGGGUAUAGACCCGAAACCCGGUGAUCUAGCCAUGGGCAGGUUGAAGGUUGGGUAACACUAACUGGAGGACCGAACCGACUAAUGUUGAAAAAUUAGCGGAUGACUUGUGGCUGGGGGUGAAAGGCCAAUCAAACCGGGAGAUAGCUGGUUCUCCCCGAAAGCUAUUUAGGUAGCGCCUCGUGAAUUCAUCUCCGGGGGUAGAGCACUGUUUCGGCAAGGGGGUCAUCCCGACUUACCAACCCGAUGCAAACUGCGAAUACCGGAGAAUGUUAUCACGGGAGACACACGGCGGGUGCUAACGUCCGUCGUGAAGAGGGAAACAACCCAGACCGCCAGCUAAGGUCCCAAAGUCAUGGUUAAGUGGGAAACGAUGUGGGAAGGCCCAGACAGCCAGGAUGUUGGCUUAGAAGCAGCCAUCAUUUAAAGAAAGCGUAAUAGCUCACUGGUCGAGUCGGCCUGCGCGGAAGAUGUAACGGGGCUAAACCAUGCACCGAAGCUGCGGCAGCGACGCUUAUGCGUUGUUGGGUAGGGGAGCGUUCUGUAAGCCUGCGAAGGUGUGCUGUGAGGCAUGCUGGAGGUAUCAGAAGUGCGAAUGCUGACAUAAGUAACGAUAAAGCGGGUGAAAAGCCCGCUCGCCGGAAGACCAAGGGUUCCUGUCCAACGUUAAUCGGGGCAGGGUGAGUCGACCCCUAAGGCGAGGCCGAAAGGCGUAGUCGAUGGGAAACAGGUUAAUAUUCCUGUACUUGGUGUUACUGCGAAGGGGGGACGGAGAAGGCUAUGUUGGCCGGGCGACGGUUGUCCCGGUUUAAGCGUGUAGGCUGGUUUUCCAGGCAAAUCCGGAAAAUCAAGGCUGAGGCGUGAUGACGAGGCACUACGGUGCUGAAGCAACAAAUGCCCUGCUUCCAGGAAAAGCCUCUAAGCAUCAGGUAACAUCAAAUCGUACCCCAAACCGACACAGGUGGUCAGGUAGAGAAUACCAAGGCGCUUGAGAGAACUCGGGUGAAGGAACUAGGCAAAAUGGUGCCGUAACUUCGGGAGAAGGCACGCUGAUAUGUAGGUGAAGUCCCUCGCGGAUGGAGCUGAAAUCAGUCGAAGAUACCAGCUGGCUGCAACUGUUUAUUAAAAACACAGCACUGUGCAAACACGAAAGUGGACGUAUACGGUGUGACGCCUGCCCGGUGCCGGAAGGUUAAUUGAUGGGGUCAGCGCAAGCGAAGCUCUUGAUCGAAGCCCCGGUAAACGGCGGCCGUAACUAUAACGGUCCUAAGGUAGCGAAAUUCCUUGUCGGGUAAGUUCCGACCUGCACGAAUGGCGUAAUGAUGGCCAGGCUGUCUCCACCCGAGACUCAGUGAAAUUGAACUCGCUGUGAAGAUGCAGUGUACCCGCGGCAAGACGGAAAGACCCCGUGAACCUUUACUAUAGCUUGACACUGAACAUUGAGCCUUGAUGUGUAGGAUAGGUGGGAGGCUUUGAAGUGUGGACGCCAGUCUGCAUGGAGCCGACCUUGAAAUACCACCCUUUAAUGUUUGAUGUUCUAACGUUGACCCGUAAUCCGGGUUGCGGACAGUGUCUGGUGGGUAGUUUGACUGGGGCGGUCUCCUCCUAAAGAGUAACGGAGGAGCACGAAGGUUGGCUAAUCCUGGUCGGACAUCAGGAGGUUAGUGCAAUGGCAUAAGCCAGCUUGACUGCGAGCGUGACGGCGCGAGCAGGUGCGAAAGCAGGUCAUAGUGAUCCGGUGGUUCUGAAUGGAAGGGCCAUCGCUCAACGGAUAAAAGGUACUCCGGGGAUAACAGGCUGAUACCGCCCAAGAGUUCAUAUCGACGGCGGUGUUUGGCACCUCGAUGUCGGCUCAUCACAUCCUGGGGCUGAAGUAGGUCCCAAGGGUAUGGCUGUUCGCCAUUUAAAGUGGUACGCGAGCUGGGUUUAGAACGUCGUGAGACAGUUCGGUCCCUAUCUGCCGUGGGCGCUGGAGAACUGAGGGGGGCUGCUCCUAGUACGAGAGGACCGGAGUGGACGCAUCACUGGUGUUCGGGUUGUCAUGCCAAUGGCACUGCCCGGUAGCUAAAUGCGGAAGAGAUAAGUGCUGAAAGCAUCUAAGCACGAAACUUGCCCCGAGAUGAGUUCUCCCUGACUCCUUGAGAGUCCUGAAGGAACGUUGAAGACGACGACGUUGAUAGGCCGGGUGUGUAAGCGCAGCGAUGCGUUGAGCUAACCGGUACUAAUGAACCGUGAGGCUUAACCUUACAACGCCGAAGCUGUU